GUGCUUGCUUCGGCAGCACAUAUACAAAAAUUGGAAUGAUACAGAAAUUACCAUGGCCCCUGCCCAAGGAUCACAUGCAAAUUCAUGAAGCUUUCCAUAUUUGU
rnacentral:snRNA from 1 species